AGAGCGAACGCUGGCGGCAGGCUUAACACAUGCAAGUCGAGCGGGCGUAGCAAUACGUCAGCGGCAGACGGGUGAGUAACGCGUGGGAACGUACCUUUUGGUUCGGAACAACCCAGGGAAACUUGGACUAAUACCGGAUAAGCCCUUACGGGGAAAGAUUUAUCGCCGAAAGAUCGGCCCGCGUCUGAUUAGCUAGUUGGUGAGGUAAUGGCUCACCAAGGCGACGAUCAGUAGCUGGUCUGAGAGGAUGAUCAGCCACAUUGGGACUGAGACACGGCCCAAACUCCUACGGGAGGCAGCAGUGGGGAAUAUUGGACAAUGGGCGCAAGCCUGAUCCAGCCAUGCCGCGUGAGUGAUGAAGGCCCUAGGGUUGUAAAGCUCUUUUGUGCGGGAAGAUAAUGACGGUACCGCAAGAAUAACGCCCGGCUAACUUCGCGCCAGCAGCCGC
rnacentral:rRNA from 1 species